CUUCCCUUUGAAUACAUCAUGAAUCUAACAAUAAUGUACAGAAUCUCUGUUCUUACAUUGGUUUCGUAUGGAGGGAUUAUAAUGGGAUCAUGUGACAUAAAGCUAGAAAGUUCAUUUAUAAAGAAUUUAUUAGAAAUGGUUUUAAAAAAAGAUUCAGAUAAAUGCUGUAUGUUGCCCAGCGGAAAAAAAACUCCUGCUUUUUCAGCUGUAUUGACACAUAA